AUCGCUUCUCGGCCUUUUGGCUAAGAUCAAAGUGUAGUAUCUGUUCUUUUCAGCUUAAUAUCUGAAAGUUCCCUCACUGAGGGACCAGUAUUAGACAUGGGAAAAACGUAUCAUUGAAAAGAAAAGAUUGAUAUGUAUCAUUUGAUCACAGGGAUAUGUAUCACUCUUUUGUAUCUCUAUAUCCU